UACUCUUUUUAUUGUGUUCUUGAAAGGACCGUCGUUUGUGCACUUGGAAAUUUUACGACCUUGUUAUAUUUUUUUCGGGAGAAGAAUUUUACCUUUUGGGCCAAACAUUUAUUUUUUUAACCCAAUUUAAAACCCAAUUGUGUUGAGCCCAAAACACAUUUUAUUUCUUUCUGUUUGAGCCAAUUUUGGAGAAGCCCAAAGAUUUUUCUUUUAUUCCACUACACUUUUAAAUCCCACUAUCUAUUCCAUUAUCUCAACAAGAAAUUAUAUACUCUAUUCCACUACCUCCACCACCACAAACAUCACAACGGCCAUUCAUGACUUUGCUUUUAGAGAUUUCCCCACUAAUUCUAAACAAUAUAUAUUCCUCCCACAUCAGUUUCCAACUCCACAUAUUUCACGUUUCACACAUCCAAUUUGGAGAGAAGAAAACCGAGAGGUGAGGGGAGAAAAGAGUGAGGCAGCGGUUGAUGAGAGGAGGAUUUCAAUCCUUUUGAGAGGGGUACGCCGACAGCAAUGGCACAGCGAGGUCUCGGAGUCGAGAGCAACAGCGAAUUUUGCUUACGGACAGCGGUGACCCCACGCGGCGUGCGACGGAGGAUAGGCGAGCGACAGCGUCUCCCAGCGGCGACGGAGCAGCGGCUACAACGGCAUCUCCCGGCAGCGAUGACGCUGAACGAACCCGACGGAUCGAUGGCAAACCUUCUGCACAGCAACUGUCGACGUCUAGCAGCAGCUAACCGACAAGCAGAGGCGCCGGCGUGAGCACCGACGCGAUAUGGAGAAUCUGGACGCGCGACAGCAGCGUCUCCCGGCUCUGAGCAGCAGCAACAAUGUGCAGCAAGGGCUGAUCGUGACAGCGAUGGACUCACGGCUGGAAGGCGGUGACAAAGAGCGACCCCAGCAGCGGCUGCUCGGUGAUGACGGCGACACUGCAAGACCUUCGACUGCACAGCAGCGACGACGCAGCAGCGCCGAGCGUCUGUGGUGGACACGGGUGACGAAUCGGAGUCAGCAGCGGCGACGUCGGCGGCGAACAGGCUGACCAACGGGCAGUAGCCGACGACGACCGAUCUGGACCGUGAGUUGCAGAGUUUACAGUGAUGGAACAAAACGAAUUGAUAGAGAGAUGAGUGAUGGUGGUCGAAAGAGGAAAGGGAGCGACGGCGGAGCAGCAACGUUCAUACAGCAGCGUCUCCCGGCUCUGUGCAGCAGCCAACAACAGCAACAACGUGCAGCAACGGGCCGAACAGCGAUGGCACCGCUCGUCUGCUCGACGAAUUCCGAACAGUGAAACAUCGCAAGUGAAUCGUGAUCGCAAGGGAAAGAAAGUGUUUUCGGAUUAAGCACACGAGGUUGAGCGGUGACGAGCGCGGUGGCUGUUGAGCAUAAAAGUGAAGAAUGUCUAUCAAAU